UACGUAGGGGGCAAGCGUUGUCCGGAAUUACUGGGCGUAAAGCGUGCGCAGGCGGCUUGCUAAGACAGGUGUGAAAGCCCCCGAGCUUAACUUGGGAAUGGCGCUUGUGACUGGCAGGCUGGAGUGUGGCAGAGGGAGGUGGAAUUCCACGUGUAGCAGUGAAAUGCGUAGAGAUGUGGAGGAACACCGAUGGCGAAGGCAGCCCCCUGGGCUAACACUGACGCUCAUGCACGAAAGCGUGGGGAGCAAACAGG
rnacentral:rRNA from 1 species